GUGGCUAUUAUAGACAGAAGCUGUCGCCUGUAUAGAUACAGAUGUGCACGAUGCAGGCACUGAACGUGAGUGCUCAGGAUUCAGGCACCGACACCAGUCGGGAGUUGGAGCUGCCAAAAGAGUUUCAGAUUCAAGCAGCUGGAAGGGGCCAGUCAAAAAGUCACUGCUGUCAACUGCCCAUGGAAAAAUGCCUGCUCCCAUCAGAGCAUCCCUGCCACUGCUGGUCAUGGCCAGCUGACACCAAAGACGCCGUCUCUGAAAAGAAUAAAAAUAUUGCAUGGGGGCUCUGGGGAAUCUCAUCACUCUCCUGACAUGCUAUCUUUGAGUCCCGCAUUAAAACAAGUGGUAGAGAGAGAAAUCUGCGGAGUCACUAUUUGUGUGGUAUAUUUUUUGAUGAUGGAUGGAUUUGGUUUCUAGAGCUAUUAAUCCAGUAUUUUUUUUUUUUUUUUAGGAAAAUAAAAUUAAUUUGGGGGGGAUGUGGGGAAUAAAC
rnacentral:lncRNA from 1 species